UUAAAAAAAAAGAAGGUUUUUCUGGUAUAUAACAAAACAGUGCGUAUCCAAAAAAAUGCCGAAUUAAAAAAAACUCUGCACCUAUUAUUGUUCUACUUUGCAGUUUAUUUUUGUUAAAAAUAUUCGGGCGGAUGGAGAUAACCAAUUCUUAACGAGCUUUUCCUCCCUAUACCUAAGUCAGAUCGAUACAAAGGUGCAGCGACACUGAAGUGAACUUGUAGUGUAGGGUUGGGAUAUGCGAGUGGAACUUUCACGAUGAUAUUGACGUAGAAUAGUACAAGCUAAAACCUUGUUUGGUAUACUCUUAUUUUCUAUCCAUUUCAAUACAAGAAUCCGUAUCUGAUCUUUUAUCUCACAAGAGCUUCAUUCACGAAUUUAGUAGAACGAGAUUUGGUUACUAGUACAGGUAUUUUUUUUAUUAUAUGUAUUAAUGGCUUUAGUGUGCGGCGGUAUAACCAAAAAUACCGGUUUUCGGUACGUUUCAAGUCGGCGGAGGUCCGUUCCCCCGGGAGAUUUCAUUGGCAACAUGCCUGCGAGGUUCGAGUGAUUUUUGCAAUUACCGACAGGCGGCACACAUAUCUGUCGGCAAUUUGCCGCUCCUCCCGCGAUCUCCGGUGAUCGGUUUCUCGGAAACGUUGCAUCAACUUCGCACAGUGCACCGAGCUAGCGCGAUUAACGCACUAAUUACCACUGUACCGCACUCGGACUGGGUACGGACGAGGCUGUCAUUACAUGAAAAAGGCAACGUCUCACGAGGUUUUUGCGGCGGGUAAUUUUAGUGAAAUGGUAGCUUCUUAGAGACUUUUUUAAUUAUUAAAACAAAUAGGUACAUGUUAACUGAUUUCUUAUAUUUUAAUUGUCGAAAUCAUCUGUUACAGUGUAUCUUACUGAAUAUAGCUUUAAAACUUAUUGAGAUAUUUUUAAUAAUGUUAGACAAUGGAGAGUGAAAGGAAACAGUUUCUAAAAGUAAAUUAAUCAAAACUAAGUAAUAAGAUUUUAGCUCAAAGGAAACAGAAUUAAUCUACUUCUUUAAUCAUAAAAAUUUAGUGAUACUUUCAAAGAGUACAUAUAUGGCUGUUAUUAUUGCAAACACUGCAAUGUAUGAAGCACAUCAAGGAAGAUGUCUACAUAAUUACUUAAAUUAUAAUAAAAAAAAUCUACUAAAUAAAUUAAUAUUAUUGAAUAUGUUCAUAUCAGUAAUUAAUAACUUAACACAUAGAACUUCAAUAUUCAUAGCAGUAACUCAAUGCCUUAUAAAAUGUUAAUACAACAGGUAACUAUUACUUAGAAAUCCUGAUUGCGAUUGAAUACAAAUGGCUUCCAUUUAACUCUAUGAAUAAUCUGUUAAUGCAAUUAGCUAUUGCACAAGUAUUUUUUACUUGAGUUGCAUUCAAAAUUGUACAUCAAAAUCAACCUCCUUUCAUUAUUAAUGUUUGUAUUUUAAAAUUGCAAAUUUUCAUUUUUUGUUGUUCCUAAAUACAUUUUUAAUGAAAUAUACUAAUGAUUUAAAUUUGAUAUGAAGUUAACAAUUUUGAAUAGUCAUCCAUUAAAUCUUAUCUGUAUUUCAUAGCCAAAUUUGUUUUAAAAAUUUAUUAUUCAUUAAUUUUUUUUUUACAAUUUGGGCAAUAUCCUACGAUUUUACUGGUAAAUACGAUAAGACUGUCCGUACUCUAUCUCCGUACUAUAUAGUAACCUUUUAUGAACAUUAUCAAGCCCCACUCAAGGAUUUUGUCAUAGAAAGGUAUAGAAGAAAAUUUAUUUAACAUACUUUUUACUGAUGUGGGAUAAUUUAUUUUAUAUUCCUUUAUUGUGUAAUAUACACCAAAAGUUAAAGUAAAACUUAUCUAUUCUUAGUGUCAAGUACCUAGAUUUUUGUUUGUAGUGAUCAAUGAAGUGUUUUCCAUUAUGAUUAUGUUUAUAUGUAUAUAUUCUAUCUUGGAAUGCAAUAAAAGGAUCAACCAAUGUUGUAGGAUCAAUGUGCUUGCUACCACACCAUUUGGUCCAGGAUGUUUCCCCGCCCUUUAAAGUGAACAAAAUAGCCAAUAUAAUAAUUUUCAGGUUUCAAGUAUUUUAUUUUAUUCUGUUCAGAUUGUUUUUUAAAAUUUAAAACAGACAUAUAUUUUAAUUGUUAUAGAUUAUUGUGUUACAUAUAAUUUAAAAUUUCAUCUUAUUUUGAAACGAUUCAAGAUUAAUUCUGAAUUAUAAUGACGAUAGCUAUGCAAAAGUUUAUCUGAAAUUUUUAUUGAUAGCAAAAAAAUAUUAAAGUAAGUUAAAAGUAUCCAAACUUUCUUAAAACUAGCACACACCGGCGUAAGUAAUCAAUAUCUAUAACAGUAAAUGCAGAAAAUUAAGACAAGUGACGGUAAAAACGAAGGAUUACUCACCGAAUCCGCCGAAUCACUAUCCAACUUUCCAAGAAUUGAAUAUACACGAAACUCAAAAGCGGAUAGUUUCUCUCACCAUGUAAAAAAAUUCACAACACUUUGAGAAGAGUUUAUUUAAUAUCAAGCUUUUUGUAAUGCAUUUAUUUAUUUUGGCGUGAUAAAUCGCUGUUUGUUAUUUUAGUAUGUUACUUUACAGCAACAUAACCAACUACCUACACGGGCGAACCACAUGCGACUGACAGCUCUCUAUUGACAAUAUUAUUUCAUUCCUUGUACUGACGUUUGACACUAUUGACAGUGCUAGUUUCAUUUUUUCCAAUUAAAAAGGCGCAUGUAUUACACUAUGCAGCCUAUCAUCACCACGAUCAUCAGUACAAAGUAGUUCACUGCUGGACAUAGCUCUCUCCUAAUCCACACUGCUGAGCCCAGUCUUCGGCUUUCCUUAUCCACUUCUCGUUGGCCAGGCUUCGAAGGUCAAACAGUCUAAUCCCCGUAUAUUCUGUUUUUAUGAAAAAUAUUAUGGGGCGAAAUGAAAUGAGGAUUCUUUGAGACAUUUGUCAAUUGAGAUGAAAUUAAAUGACACGGAAUAUGCGGUAAAAUAUAGUUUCAGUAAAAUGGUGGUUAUUGAUUGAAACCUUUUCAGUGGAUGCUUAGAAGAUCCCGAGAAGCAUGUCCAGCGGCUUUGAUUCAUUUUUCCACAUUUUUACACUUUUCAGAUGAUAAACAGUUAAAAAAUCACCUCUAUUACACGUUUAAAUCUGAAGAAUACCUUAAUAUUACAAAAUAAAUCAAUUAUCGCAAUUUCGCUUCUCGCGUUCUUACCAAAAAGCAAUUUUUUUUUUUUUGGAAGAGCGAGACAAUUUUUAUUUAAUUGAAAAAAAAUCUGCACAAUGUACGAAAUGGUAGAAUAUUUUUAGGUCAGGCGUUACUUAAAUGUAAUUUAUUUAAAAAUAACCUCGUUAUCCAUAUUUUUUCGUUUGGCCUUGAUAUUUUCUAAUAUCCAUAUAAUCCAUACAAUCACAUGCACAUAUCAAUAAUUUAAUGUAUUUAUUUCUUCUUUCCUUUAGUAGGUAAUUUCUUUGCAUUUCUUAAAUGGCGAAAGGCUCCGAGUGCACGACGGACCAUAACUCCGCGCCACCAUGCUUGUAUUCUUGUUGCUGAAUCUCGAAGACGUUUCUCACGAAGAAGUCGGGCCGCUCGUUCUUUUUUAAAAGUAUCUAUCGUCGAUUGUACAUACGAGUUUUUGCAAUUCUGCUCGUCGAGCGCUAACACAGCGAAAUUGGUCAGCCUUCUCUUUGAGUCUUCUGUUGAUCGUCGCUGUGUCUACUGCAUAACGAGAAUGCCAAUAUUCCAAAGACUUCUCUCGUUCCUAAUUAUAAAUAAAGAGCAUGGUACAAAA